rnacentral:rRNA from 1 species
AUUGAACGCUGGCGGCAUGGCUAAAACAUGCAAGUCGAACGCGAAAGGGAGCAAUCCCAAGUAGAGUGGCGAAAGGGCGAGGAAUAAAUUCCUACGUACCCCAAGGUCGGGGAUACCUCGGAGAAAUCCGAAUCAAUACCCGAUGUGGUCCGCAAGGAUCAAAGGCUUGCUGCCUUGGGAGCGGGGAAUUUCCUAUCAGGUAGUUGGUAAGGUAAUGGCUUACCAAGCCUAAGACGGGUAGCGGGUGUGAGAGCACGGCCCGCCGCAUCGAGACUGAGACACUGCUCGGACUCCUACGGGAGGCUGCAGUAACGAAUCUUCCGCAAUGCGCGAAAGCGUGACGGGGCAAUGCCGCGUGCAGGAUGAAGCCCUUCGGGGUGUAAACUGCUGUCAGGGUGCAGGAACUCAAUGACCAUACCCAAAGGAAGCACCGGCUAACUCUGUG